rnacentral:tRNA from 1 species
CUCCCGAUGGCCCAGUUGGCUAAGGCGCGAGACUGUAAUGAUCUUGAGAUCGGGUGUUCGAUUCACCCUCGGGAGA